CCCUUACCCUGUCGAAGAAGUGAAGACAAAUAUGAAGGAGUGAAAGAGUUUUCAUUUAAGUUUAUUCAUGUCAGCUUACGCCAGUCACAGCUGCUAGAUUGUUUUGAAAACAUGAAGGGAAUGAGAGACUGAAAGUGACAUGUCCGUGGUGUUGCAUCAUUGCAUGUGAAAGAAGUCAUCAAAGACAUACAAAAGCAUGUAUAUAGCUGCAGAUGCACAUGACUGUUGUCUAUCAGUGGGAAUUGCUACAGUGUUUGCCCUGAAAUUCUUUAAGACUACUCAAAAAUACUGUAGAUUAGAAGAGCUUUAACAGAGGAUGCUGGAGGAGGCUUGGCCUGAGUGACUACUGAAAGAGGAUACCUGAAAGUUUCCAGUGUAAUGUUUGCUUGCUUAUAGGCAGAAGUACAUCAGGGCCACAUGCAUAUUAAAUGGUGGGCCACCCAAGUCAUAGGAUAAUGCAUUGACAAUGCACUUGGCAAACGGAUUUAGCUGUUUUUUUAGAGUAAGUCCUUCCUUUAUAUCAUGUAUAAACACAAACAUGUCUGAUGUUCAGCAUGACUCAUGCUUAGUUAUUAAUACAGUCCUGGAGAUAAGGUAUUUGACAAGAACAUGCUUUUAUGCAUGCUGAAACUAAGACGGCUAUAUAAUACCAGUAGUAGCAAACAACUUUUUCAAAUUCUCAUGGAAACCAUUCAGGAGUGUGAAAUGGAUGCCAAUUUCAUUAUCACCUAUAAGAAGGCAAACAAUGAAUCUUUGUAGGCUCACAGGCUGUACUCAGAACAGGAGGCUUAAGUGCAUCAGCCAGUAGGUAAACUCAAUCAGGCUAGUACCUGUCAGAUGGAAUAUGUCUGUUAACAAAGCCAUUAAGUGUACUUUAAAUGCUAGUUAGAACUUUUGCAAGGAGUGUUUACGGGUUGAACAUUGGAGGAUGCAGUGAGCCAUACAGUAAAGUUCUUAGUUACAGUGGGCACAUAAUAGUCUUAACUACUGGUUGCAGAACAUUUUUACUAUGUAAAUAAGUGUUUUUAUGUGUAUUUUACAGACCUGGAAGUGAAUAAGUUAAAGGCUGUGAUCAAAGGGAACAAUAAAAUUUUAAGCUAAGGAAGGAAGAUGCUAGAGAGGUGAAGUGCUGAGAAUGUUUUUUGAUUGCAGUGUUUUUAUGGAAAAAGUUUUCUGAUGAACCUAGUUUUAAAUAACUAUUGAUGUUGAAAUUUACC